rnacentral:lncRNA from 10 species
AAAGAAUAGGGAUAAGUGUGUGUAAUUGCUGGCUCUGGUCCUAGUCAGAAGCUUGAGGAACCAGAAAACCCAGGACAUAUUUCUUGUCUUCUGUCUGAGAGUUUGCACGUUGACAUCAAUCAGUGGUCAGUGAGGAACUGCAGACUACGUGGAAUGGGGCUGGGAGUGGAAGAAGGAAUGUUACUGCUUCAUCCAAAACAAAUUUCUCAGUUGUUUGACAGUUGUUGAGCAAUGAGAAAAGAUGCAGUCAAUUUUUGAUUUUUUAUUUCGCACUUAUGAUCUGAAGUCUUUUGGCAACACAUCAUGCUAGUCAAGAGUGGUGGAAGAGACAUUGCCAUAGUUUCUUCUUUAAGGUUUAAGAUCUAGAUGGCAUACAACAACAACAAAAAAACAAAGUUGCGGCCUCAGACUCACUAGAAGUUUGAAGAUGGAGUUCACGCUUGGAAAGAUCAUCUUGGGUUUGGCUAUAGGCCUGUUCAGUCAAAUCAUUCAUAUUUUUCUUCUAAGAGGAAAGGCAAAAACUCCAAAUGAUUUACAUAGAUGCCCCUAGGAAGGAAACCCAUAAAAAAUAUAAGCAAAUUAAUGGGGAAGGAUUGUGAAGAACUGCAAUAUGUCUGAGAUUUUUAUCCUAUUUGGACAUGAACAAAUUAGCCUGCCAUAGUUUCUUGGUUGCUAGCAGAAGACGUGAGACUCCUGGUUCAGAGACAAGGACUUUAUGACUCACAGUACAGCAAGCAGCAUGGGCAUCAUGUCUGUGCUGAAUCAUAUUGCCUCUUGCCUUCCAAAUCCUAGAGGGUAAUACUGAAGGGCCCUGGUGGAUCUUUCACAUACAGUUGGUUUGUGUGAGGCAAUCAACACAUACAGCUGGGGAAUCCUAAACUCAGGAUACCUGAAUGUUUUAUAAGCAGCUAAAAGCAUAUUGGCCUUUUCUGCCAGAGGGGGACUCUAAAUUCCAAGGCUCUUCAUUCUAUAACCAUCCUUGAAAAAAAUAGCCCCUGUGCUCACAAGACAUACACAAAAAUGAAGAGCCAUGAUAGUUGUUAAAAUAAAGGGAAAGACUUAGUUUUGCAUUUUUCUGUUUUCUUUUUAUCUUUCUUAGCUUAGACCUAGAAAGCAGAGGAUGCUUCAAAUAAAACCAGUUGCUUGUGCUGUUACAAUGAACGUACAUGAUUAGAUAUUUAUUUAUGUCUUUUCUUUGUUUUCCCUCAUCAUGACCCAAUUUGCUUAGUAUACAGUAAGGACCAAUAAAUGUUUUUUAUCUGUAUGAAUGCUCAGAGGGGUGUAAUAUAAGCAUUGCUACAGCUCAUUUCCAGAAAAGAGGCCACAGUUGUAUAGAUUUUUUUAAAAAUUACCAACGACUGGCCCAACUCUACUCUGACUUUGGCCACACAACUCUCAAUACUGAAUAAUAUCAAGCUGUAGUUCAGACAUAUCACCUAGUAGGAUGUUUAUUGUUAUUUUAUGUCUGUGUUACACUGAUAAAAUUAAAC